rnacentral:rRNA from 1 species
GAUGAACGCUGGCGGCGUGCCUAAUACACGCAAGUCGAGCGAACGGACGAGAAGCUUGCUUCUCUGAUGUUAGCGGCGGACGGGUGAGUAACACGUGGAUAACCUACCUAUAAGACUGGGAUAACUUCGGGAAACCGGAGCUAAUACCGGAUAAUAUUUUGAAACGCAUGGUUCAAAAGUGAAAGACGGUCUUGCUGUCACUUAUAGAUGGAUCCGCGCUGCAUUAGCUAGUUGGUAAGGUAACGGCUUACCAAGGCAACGAUGCAUAGCCGACCUGAGAGGGUGAUCGGCCACACUGGAACUGAGACACGGUCCAGACUCCUACGGGAGGCAGCAGUAGGGAAUCUUCCGCAAUGGGCGAAAGCCUGACGGAGCAACGCCGCGUGAGUGAUGAAGGUCUUCGGAUCGUAAAACUCUGUUAUUAGGGAAGAACAUAUGUGUAAGUAACUGUGCACAUCUUGACGGUACCUAAUCAGAAAGCCACGGCUAACUACGUG